rnacentral:rRNA from 1 species
UGGGGAAUAUUGGACAAUGGGCGAAAGCCUGAUCCAGCCAUGCCGCGUGUGUGAAGAAGGUCUUCUGAUUGUAAAGCACUUUAAGUUGGGAGGAAGGGCAGUUACCUAAUACGUGAUUGUUUUGACGUUACCGACAGAAUAAGCACCGGCUAACUCUGUGCCAGCAGCCGCGGUAAUACAGAGGGUGCAAGCGUUAAUCGGAAUUACUGGGCGUAAAGCGCGCGUAGGUGGUUCGUUAAGUUGGAUGUGAAAUCCCCGGGCUCAACCUGGGAACUGCAGUGAAAACUGUGGAGCUAGAGUAUG